ensembl:lncRNA
AUGUCUGUAUCUUCCACCUUAUUCACUCCCAUAAUUCUUAGUUCCUCCAUUUCUCAUCACCUCCUAUUUUGUCCCGUCUUCUGUUAUUAUCUUAUUCCAUCUCAAAAUCCCUCCCUGUCUCCUCCUUCUCUUUCCUUUCUCCUCUCGCCUUCUCUCCUGAGUCAUCGCUCCUCCCUCUCUCUGUUCCCUCCCCCCCUCCUCCCUGUUAUCAGAGGAGUGUCUGCAUCCUGCCUCAGUGUGUGUUUGUGUGUGUGCUUGGCCUGUAGCAUGGCGUCUCUCGGCCUCCUGCUGCUCAGCACUGCUCUGAUCCACACCGCUCAGUCUCUACCUGCAGCUCGUGCUGGGGGUCAUGGCCUGGAUGUGUCAGUGGGUGGAGUCAGACGCCAGCGCAGAGACCUCCCUAACCUGCUGCCUUAUGAAGACCAGAUGAUGUCAUAUCCUGCCAUGCAGGGAGGAGGCAGGGCCAAUGACCUUUACUACCAAUCAGAUGACUGGAGGGGGAGGGGCUUGGACCAGGCACUGCAGCGAUUGGUGGAGAGAGACCAGAGGAAGGAGCAGGAGGAGGAGCAGCGAGCAGCCUACCUGGCAGCUCUGCUCCGCCUACUGAGCGAGGCAGAGAGCGCAGGACUGGUUGGUCCGGGUGACGUGGAAGUGGUCGAGGAGGAGGAGGAUGAGGAGGAUGACCAGGGCCCCACAGGGGACUUCCAGGGCCCUGCUCCUGCAGACUAUGAUGAGACUGGAAGGGGGAUGAGCAUGGGGAGGCCCCGGGCCGCCUGGUGGGGCCUCGUGGAGCCCCAGCUUGCUCAGGCCCUGCUUGACAGGAUGGAUCCCCGGCUCGCUCAGACGCUGCUGGAAAGAGCAAAACAGGAGAGACGUCAGCAGGCUGGACGAGUCGCAUCAGGACUGAGCCGAGACCAGGACACUCUGAGGCGGAUGGUUGCUGGGAUACUCUCCAGCAUCGGUCCUAACGGUGUCUCGGUCGCCUCCUCUGGUCGCAGAGCGAAGAGGGACCUGUCAGCCAAAGCACCUGAGCCUGUUAGCUCCGCCCACAGAAGAACCCGCCGUUCUCUUGACGACCUGGCUCCCCCUUCGCCUAGCAACGACCCUCCCCUCCUCAGGGUGAAGAGGCUGGAGGAUUACGAUGGAGAGGAGCAAGGUGAGAAGCUGCACCCCCAGGUGGUCGGGCUGCAGAGGAUGAAACGCAUCGACACUACGUCAACGGGCGACGCAGAGGAACUGAAUCAUGGGAGCCGUAGGCGCCGGAGGAGAGCUGCUCUGAACUACGACCCACAAAUAUUGGUUGAUCAGAUUCUGGAGUACAUGAGGGAGUGAGGAGUAGAGAAGAGAGUAUACGUUGUCAUUCAGGUUUUUAUUUGUGCAUCUUUUUCAUUUGUUCCUGCUGCUUUCGUGAAAAUUUAUCAGGUUGUUUGUUGUAAAAAUGAGGAGAAAUGGAAAACAGAUGGAAGAAGGAUAAAACGGUUCUGUUUGUGCAUCUCUCUAAAACACUACAUUUCCCAUGAGCCUCAGCAGGCAUUGUUCCAGCACAUUCAAUGAACCAAAAUCUAAAAAUGCACCUGAAUCAAAUUUGUGAAAAGAAACUUCUUUCUCAAGCUCUCUGAUUGGCUGAUAAUCUACUGCAAUGGUCUCUGGGGCUUGUAGUUAGACUCUUCAUUACUGUAAUGUGGCUACAUUGUUACAGGUUCGCCAUUAAAUCGAGCUUCCUUCUGUCAGAAAAGAUGGAGAGAUGGUGGAAAGUGGUGAUAACCUUGGCAAAAGCUCAUCAGCUGUGUGAUCAAUACGUUCUCGUUGUGUUCCUGUACUUCAGCUUGUGAUGAUUCGUCUGUCUGUGGUGAAAUUUGGAUUCAUGUCACACUCAGAAAUAAAGUCGGUAAAGUCGACCUUCACUGCCGCCUGCUGUCUGUUUGUGUCCCCACUAAAGACGAACGUAUCCUGUGGUUGUUGAAAGGGAGAACAGUGCAGGACCUGUCAUUUUUCUACUGGCCAGCAGGGGGAGACUCAUCUGCUUGCAAGAAACAGCCCGGUUGUGUAAAGGUCUAUGGGAAAAUUACCCUACAUCUUCAUUAAACUUUAACCUCACUAUACAUUCGUCUGGUGAGUUUAUAGUUUGAGCUGGCAGUUUCAAAUCUUAUUUGAUAACAUAUCUCGUUCAUUUAAUCAAUUAUGGGUCACAUUGGUGUGAACCAUAAUUGAUCACAGUCACAGUCUUCACACCCCAAAGUGCCCCAUGUUUAAGUUAAUAAAUAUGAAACAGUCAUUCUGACUUAACUGUUUAAAAUAUAUACAAAAGAGUUUAGCUAUAAUAUCAUUAAAAACAAACAGCACAUCUUUUUGAUUAUUCUGUUUCAGGUAAGUAAAUUAACUAGGUGCUAGGUUAAGUCUUUCCCAACUUUGUUCAUUAAACCUUUGGAGGUCAAAAUCACAUCAUUUUCAACUUCCCAUUUCUGGGAAAAGUCAAAUCCAGGGUACAGAAAUAACUCAUUCCACUUAACAGCUUUGUUACAUUUUAAUCAAACAUUUAAACAGAAAAACUUUUGAAUCAUUCCGAAAAACUGUUUUCUAAUUAAUAAAUCUCUGGUCUAUGAAAAUAAAAAAAUAAGUUAAACUGAAUCUAAUAAAGAUACAGCAUAAUCUCAUUAACAACAAAAACAUUUAAAACACAAAAGGGAACACAUUUAUUCAUGUACCUUACAGGUCAAAGGUCAUGCUGACAGCAAACACUAAUGCUCUCUAUCAGUUUUAUUUGUGUGGUUAGCUGAGCUUAGCACAAAGAAUCGCACUGCAUCUGAAAUCCCAUACUCAACCCUAACCUACUCCUGUACACACACUCAGUAUGUGUGUGUAU